rnacentral:rRNA from 1 species
GAUUUAAUUAUUUUAUUAAAAUUUAAGAGAAAUAAAUUUUGGUUUUAUUAUUUUAAAGAAAAGAUUAAUUUAAUUAUAGUUAAUUAGUAUAGUGAUAGAAUUUAUAAAAAAGAAUUUAAGAAAAUUUAAUUUAUUGUACCUUGUGUAUCAGGGUUUAUUAAUUAAUAGUUAAAAAAUUAAUACUUUCGAAUUUUAAAGAGUUAAAUUUAUAUAAAUUUUAUUGUUAAAUAAAUAUUUUAAAUAUAAAUUUAGAAAUGAAAUGUUAUUCGUUUUAAAAUAUAUCUAGUUUUUAAAGAAUUAAAUUUAAUUUAUAUAUUUAAAAUUAAUUGAAUUUAUUAAUUUUUUUAAUUUUUAAAUAUAAAUAGUUUUAGGGAUAAGCUUAAAAUUAUAAAAAUUUAAGAUUUUAGGUUUUAGUUAAAAUGAAUAGAAUUGUAAAUUUUUAAUAUCAUUAGUUUGUUAUAAUUAAUUUUAAUUUUCUUAUAAUUUAAAUAGUCUUAAUUUAUUUUAUUUAAAAAAUUUAUUUAAUAAAAUUUUAAAUUUUAUAAUGAUAAAAUUAGUAUAAUUUAUUUUAAAAAUAAUUUUAAUAUAACAAUAAAAUUAAUUAAUUCGGCAAAUAUUUCUUUUGCCUGUUUAUUAAAAACAUGUCUUUAUGGAAUUUAAUAUAAAGUCUAAUCUGCCCAUUGAUUAAUUUAAAGGCUGCAGUAAAUUAACUGUACAAAGGUAGCAUAAUAAUUAGUUUUUUAAUUGAAAGCUGGAAUGAAUGAUUGAACAAAAAGAAAGCUGUAUCAAUUUUAAAUAUUUAAAAUUUUAAUUUUAAGUUAAAAUGCUUAAAUUUUAUUAAAAGACGAGAAGACCCUAUAAAGUUUAAUAUAAUUAAAAUUAUAGUUUUUUUAGUCAUAUUUAUUAUUAUAUUAAUAAUUAUAUUUAAUUGGGGUGAUUAAAAAAUUAUUGAACUUUUUUGAUUUAAAACAAAAAUUUUUGUUAAUUUGAUCCUUUAUUUAAGAUUAAAAGAUUAAAUUACUUUAGGGAUAACAGCGUUAUUAUUUUUGAGAGUUCUAAUCGAAAAAAUAGUUUGCGACCUCGAUGUUGGAUUAAGAUUAAAUUUAAUGGAGAAGUUAAAUAAAUUAAGUCUGUUCGACUAUUAAAAUCUUACAUGAUCUGAGUUUAAACCGGUGUGAGCCAGGUUGGAUUCUAUCUUUAAUAAGUUUUUAUAUUUUAGUACGAAAGGACCAUUUAUA